rnacentral:lncRNA from 1 species
CUGGAUAUUACCUUCUACCAGGACAGCUACAAUUUAUUCCAAGCUACCCAAGCUUUCUUGGAAUUCAAGUUAAAACAAAGCAAAACAAGUCAAAAUCCAUGACAGCUGCAGAGAUGAGAACUGAUUAAUCGAUUAACAUCCCCGAAACACAUUACGAGGAGGGGACGAUAAAUUAAGACAGAGGACAUCAUCUUCAACCCGAUUCCCUGAGCGUCCUUUACAGAAAUCAUCAUCCUAAUCAUAACCACAAUCCAUCCCGCCCAGAGAAAAAUAUCUAUAUUAUUAUUAUUACUGGUUAACAGCAACAAGUCAUUUGAUCACAUCACAGUGCAAAACGAGAUGCUAUAUAAUUACACUUAACUUUGAAAACACUCCCCCCUUUGCAAAUCAGAUACACAUAUUUAUAUAUCAUCUAUGAAUCAGAAGACAAAUAAAACAAGAGCUGUUCUUCACCACGCAAAAGCCAAGCGGAGAUUUACCUCAGCAGUGCAUGCAGUAAAAUAAUCCCAUCACCCUUUUGUUUGUGUUUACUGUUAGUGUAUCCUCUCUCUUUCUUUCUUUCCUGUGCCUAACGUGUGUUUGUGCACUGCAGUUGGUGGUGGAAACUAAGGCAGUGGAUCUGUAGCUAAGGGUAAUCCUGUUUUUACUUCCUCCAUCUUCAGCGAGGAGCAGGGUUAGCCCGGGACAGCUGGUCAAACCCCGAGAAACCGAUCCGCCGGAGCCCGAGCACAUNNNNNNNNNNNNNNNNNNNNNNNNNNNNNNNNNNNNNNNNNNNNNNNNNNNNNNNNNNNNNNNNNNNNNNNNNNNNNNNNNNNNNNNNNNNNNNNNNNNNGGGGGGGUGUGUGCUGUGUGUGUGUGUUUGUGUGUGUGUGUGCGCGCGUGUGCGCGCGGGUUGGCGAGGGCGCGUGUGCGCGUGUCUGAGCUCUGGGCCGCUCGGCGCGCUCGGCAAUCGAUUACAGGACAAGUGCUGCCCGGCGGCUCCGCGACGCGCGCACUCCCUCGCGCCCACCCGCGCGCCCGGCCUCGUCGCCCCCGGCCCUGCGGCCCCCAGACGGCGGACCCCGCCCCCAAAGGGGGACCAGGUGGUGUUCUCUUUGAAGUGGUGUUCUCUUUUAAAUGGGAUAUGGAACAAUGGUCUCAUAUUCUCCAUCGACCUACAUUGGCACUAUGAAGAAGGAAGCAAGCCAGAAAUAGAACCAUAAUUUCAAAGAAAACAUUCUAAGAUACCAAAUUCAGUUCAUAAGUAAGGCAUAUUAAUACCUCCCUGAGUACAUUGAUAAUCUGGGGUCUGUCUGGGUGGCAUGUAAGUCCCACAUGGUAAGGGCCAUCUCAUUCCAUCCAUCCUGAACAGUAGUUUCUUUUAACAAUUCUUAAGAGUGUCACUUUGCAAUUAAAGAUAAGGCUCUUGUCAAAUACCCAUGUCCCUAGAAAAGGUAGCAUUGUGACUUAAAUUCACACUUUGAUAGAAUAAUAUCAGAUUUCCUCUAGAGAGUACAUUUUGAUGUAGAGCAGACAAUAAGUUAUCUCUAUCCCAAAUGAGAAUUAUAAAUUGCGGGAAUUUAACUCAUACCAACGGAGCGAGGACUGGAGAAGUUUCUGAGUAAAAAUGAAAGUACACAUUUUUAAAGAUGCCAUCAGAAUAUAUCAUAGUUGCUUUAAAAUGCAGGUGUUUCAGCAUUUGAGAAAAUGAAUUCUAUUAAUGCAAAAAUGAAGGAACUUUGAGCUGGGUCAAGUGUAGAUAGCUGAUGCACAAAAAACAACUCUAAAAGGCACUGAGGAGAACAUUCUUCUAAAACACCCUAAAAUUUAUGAACACAAAAAGUUCAAUGAGGUUAUUGAACUCUCCAAUAAAGUUAGCACCAGAGAAGAAAAAGAUGAUUCAACUUUCUGAAGACACAACUUACAAAUAGAAAGGAUAAUAAUAAGGAGAACACAUUGUCUACUGAGCAUUAAUUUAGAUAAAGAUAAUAAAUACACUCUGGGGAUAAGAAGGAAAACCAAAAAUGAUCAUUUGACUUUGGAAUUAAUAAGUGAAAUUAGGGCAUAUUAAUCUAAAGACCUAUAAUACCAACAGUCAGAUUCUGCUAGAGAUAUCCAUAGUCUAAAACGGAUGACAGGUUACAUCUCAAGGGAAAGACUUGGUAGUUAAACCAGUGCCAAUAGGAGUGUGAUCCUGUUUUUUUUUCUUUGGUUUUUUAGUCCUGUGAAAAGCUCAUGGGAUUACAUGUCCAGUUUUUGUGAGAAGCCUCAACACUUUGUAAACCAAAAUUCUUUCACAGUGCAGCCGAGUCUAAUCACAUGUUUAAACAAUCCUAUAUAGACCAAAGAAAAUAGAAGAACACACUACCAACAGAAAGUGAAGGAAAGAAUCCUGGGAUUCAACCUUCCCCCUUUUUAUGGCCAGAUGGUGACAACUUAAGGAAUUAAAAGCCACGCAGGGAUAGAAAUGGGGAGCCGUUUCCUGCCUGAUAAGUCUGAAAGACGGCUGUGGUUUGGAAGAGGGAAAUUAAUCAAAGAAAGGUCAUUUACAGGUAGUAAAGUCAAAUGUCACCUCCCCCAAUUCUCAUGACUUGUGGUUUAGAGAAAGGUUAGCUUAAUAUAGAGGUUAGUGUGGCAUUCUGAACUGUCUCAAGACAUGAUAGAUGAAGAUGAGAAUAACACUAUCAGUAUCCCACCCCCUAACAGCUAUGUUCAGGCUUCAAAAAGGUAUUUAAAACUUGACGUCAUGGUGAGGUACUAGACACCUGGGAAAGUCCCACUUAAUAGACUAAGGGUAUCAUCAAAAGUCCUCUAAACUGUAUUCCACAAACUGCCUCAUUGAAAGACUAUGUUUUUGAAAUAAUUUCAUUUUUGAGAAAUCCUUAUGCAGAAUCUACAGCACUUUAGAUUGAUGAUAUAACUGAUUUCCAUGGGACUACCUAUAUGCCAUCAUUACCAUUAUAGGCAUUUACUUUAUGCCAAGCAUCAUGAUAAGCAUGUUACAUUAUCUCAUUUAACUGCCAUAGUCAUUUUUAAGAUAAUAUUAACCCUAAUUUUUACAUGAAAAAAAUUGAGGUGUGAAUACAUUAUUAAUCUUUUCAGGAUAGCAUAAUGUCAGAGUUGGACUCAAAGACAUGUCUUAAGUUCUAAAAAGCCCAUAGUAAUACCCACCAUGAUGUAUUUAGCAAUCAUACAGAACUGUUGGCUGAAGUUAACUCCAGCCCUUUGGGUAACUACUGUCCAAUAUUGAACCACUUGGAAGAAAACCCAAGUGUCCACAAUGUUCUUAGAAGUUUAUUCAAAUGUGGUAUCAACAUAGAACUCCACCAAAUCCAGGGCCUAUCUGUGAAACAUGACCUAUUUGACUUCUAAUACUUUAACAUCAGGUAUUCAUCUUCCUUGAGCUCUUCUGAACAAGUGAAUGACCUGAGAGAACCACUGAGAGUGAAUUAAAGGAUAACCACCCCAUAAGAAAUUGAGUGUCAAUUAAUGGUGACAAAGAGAUAGAGACAAGAUCUUAACUUAAAUUCUGGAUCACCAAGCAUAUUUGCACUUUUGUUUCAAAAGAGAUUGCUUCUGAUUCGUUGCUCCCAAAAACAAGCAUCACACUCCUUCCUUUUGUAGACUUACCUCACCUAUGUGUGCAAAGAAUGAACGACUGAGUUUGUGUAGUGAACGUUGUGAUUUUAAAUGGUUAUGGUGUUCUUAAAUGACAUUUUGAAUUCAAGAAACAUUUUUUUCUAGUGGAGAGCAACUCUCAGUUUAUAGUAAAGGUCAAUUUGAACAUUUUGCUAGGAUCCAUUAAACAAAGCCUGUGAGAUUAGGAUUUUUCUCUGUUUUAAUUUACAAAUCGAAUACUGGAAUAGAGACAUAAAUCGACACUGUUUUAAUUAGGUUUUCCUAUCCCAGUCUGCAUAGGUAAUAAGAGUUAUAUAUUUGUUUUCUCAUAGCAGGGUUUUUUUCCCCAAAAACAACAAGAAGUAAUACUUUGAUUUCAUAACAAGAGAUACUAUUUAUGAGGGAAGCUGAUUGGUGGCUUUGGGGGAAAUUUGUU